rnacentral:rRNA from 1 species
GAUGAACGCUGGCGGCGUGCCUAAUACAUGCAAGUCGAGCGAACAGACGAGGAGCUUGCUCCUCUGACGUUAGCGGCGGACGGGUGAGUAACACGUGGAUAACCUACCUAUAAGACUGGGAUAACUUCGGGAAACCGGAGCUAAUACCGGAUAAUAUAUUGAACCGCAUGGUUCAAUAGUGAAAGACGGUUUUGCUGUCACUUAUAGAUGGAUCCGCGCCGCAUUAGCUAGUUGGUAAGGUAACGGCUUACCAAGGCGACGAUGCGUAGCCGACCUGAGAGGGUGAUCGGCCACACUGGAACUGAGACACGGUCCAGACUCCUACGGGAGGCAGCAGUAGGGAAUCUUCCGCAAUGGGCGAAAGCCUGACGGAGCAACGCCGCGUGAGUGAUGAAGGUCCUCGGAUCGUAAAACUCUGUUAUUAGGGAAGAACAAAUGUGUAAGUAACUAUGCACGUCUUGACGGGACCUAAUCAGAAAGCCACGGCGAACUACGU